GGAUGAGUGUCCGAGCGGUCGAAGGAGACGGUCUUGAAAACCGUUGACGGGCAACCGUCCGCGAGUUCGAAUCUCGCCUCAUCCGCCA
rnacentral:tRNA from 1 species